rnacentral:sRNA from 1 species
GCCGCCCUGCCCGUGACGCCGGUGCGGAUCAACAACUCGCCGUCGGAGGCGUUCAGGCUCCAGCUGUCGGUCACAGACCGACUGUAAUCACAUGGUCAGGACG